rnacentral:tRNA from 1 species
GUCCAGGUUAGACUAUUGGACAUGGCAUUUGCCCGGUAAGCGGAACAUUGUGGGUUUGAUUCCCAUCCCUGGACA